UUAGCAGGCCUAGAGGAAGAAAUCCAAUAUGUAUUCGCAGGCCAGAGACGACAUGGACAGUGGUAGUACAAGAUUUCCCCCACACUACCUGGCUAACAUGCUGCCCUAAAUGCUGACCAGAAGGGACCACUUCUAGAUGUGAGAGGGCAGUUCAGUCCCCAUGUCCAUUCAGUCCCUUGCUUCU
rnacentral:sRNA from 1 species